rnacentral:rRNA from 1 species
AUGCACGCUGGCGGCGUGCCUAAUCCCUGCCAGUCGCGCGCACAGACGAGGAGCUUGCUCCUCUGACGUUAGCGGCGGACGGGUGAGUAACACGUGGAUAACCUACCUAUAAGACUGGGAUAACUUCGGGAAACCGGAGCUAAUACCGGAUAAUAUAUUGAACCGCAUGGUUCAAUAGUGAAAGACGGUUUUGCUGUCACUUAUAGAUGGAUCCGCGCCGCAUUAGCUAGUUGGUAAGGUAACGGCUUACCAAGGCAACGAUGCGUAGCCGACCUGAGAGGGUGAUCGGCCACACUGGAACUGAGACACGGUCCAGACUCCUACGGGAGGCAGCAGUAGGGAAUCUUCCGCAAUGGGCGAAAGCCUGACGGAGCAACGCCGCGUGAGUGAUGAAGGUCUUCGGAUCGUAAAACUCUGUUAUUAGGGAAGAACAAAUGUGUAAGUAACUAUGCACGUCUUGACGGUACCUAAUCAGAAAGCCACGGCUAACUACGUG